rnacentral:rRNA from 1 species
AUUGAACGCUGGCGGCAGGCUUAACACAUGCAAGUCGAGCGGGGUGAUGGUGCUUGCACUAUCACUUAGCGGCGGACGGGUGAGUAAUGCUUAGGAAUCUGCCUAUUAGUGGGGGACAACAUCUCGAAAGGGAUGCUAAUACCGCAUACGUCCUACGGGAGAAAGCAGGGGAUCACUUGUGACCUUGCGCUAAUAGAUGAGCCGAAGUCGGAUUAGCUAGUUGGUGGGGUAAAGGCCUACCAAGGCGACGAUCUGUAGCGGGUCUGAGAGGAUGAUCCGCCACACUGGGACUGAGACACGGCCCAGACUCCUACGGGAGGCAGCAGUGGGGAAUAUUGGACAAUGGGGGGAACCCUGAUCCAGCCAUGCCGCGUGUGUGAAGAAGGCCUUAUGGUUGUAAAGCACUUUAAGCGAGGAGGAGGCUCUUUUGGUUAAUACCCAAGAUGAGUGGACGUUACUCGCAGAAUAAGCACCGGCUGACUCUGUGCCAGCAGCCGCCGCUG